GCUCAGUGACCCCUCUGCACCAACAGCAACCCUGCUCCAGGAUCCCAGUGAGCUCGUCUGCCUGGUGCUUGGCUUCAGCCCUUCAGACAUCAACAUCACCUGGCUGCUGGACAACGUGACAGAGCUGUGGAACAACAACACUAGCACCCCCUACAGGGCACCAGGGGGAAAGUUUGGCAUUAGGAGCCACUUGAGCCUGGCACACCAGGAUUGGACACCGGGGGCUGUUUACACCUGCAGGGUGACCCACACCAGCCAGACUCUGGCAAAGAAAAUAUCCAAAACAGAGAUCCUUGAGGUGGAGGGUGUGUUCUUUGACGAGAACAGGUCUGAUCCCAUUCUGGCGGACACUGCAGAGGAGAACUGGAACAUGGCCUGCAUCUUUCUGGUCCUCUUCCUCAUCUCCCUCCUCUACAGCUUCAUAGUCACUCUGGUCAAGACAAAAUGAUGACUUCAGGACACUUCCAUAUGAUGGAUCCCUAGGAGUUCAACUGGAAAUGAAACCAUUUAUUUCAACCUUUUCUUAUCAAAUCACAACACGUUUCUUUAGAAAAUUGCAUAGUUUGAAUUUCUUACGGUUUCCUGUUGCAGGUUUGAUGACAGGGAAGUGUUAUUGUUUUUAUUCCUCACAAAGACAGACAAUGUGGAGGUGCUCUUACUUGCUCUCAUCUCUUGUUAAUGCGUUAUAGA